UGCAGUCCAUUAGAGUCUUUGUUUUAGUUGCUGAUCAUUUAUCCUUCGCGUGUUCUUUGUGCCUCUUUUAUAUCUAAAAAUCCCCACAAAAAAUCUCUAUAGCCUAUAUCAUCCUUUGUGUCAACUUUGAUCCUAUCUAGCUACUUGUUGUUGUUUUAUUUUUGUCUUUAGUUGUGCAAGUAUCAUAAUCUGAUCCCUGUUUUUAGUUCUACAUAAAAAAAGUGUGUCAAAAAAAAGAAAAGAAAGUGCAAAAAAAAGUGAAGUGAAAAAAAAGUUGAGAAAGGUUUAGAGAGAAAGUCUGAAAGAUUAGUUGGUUUAUGUGCACAAGUGCUGAAAGUUUAAUAUCAAGUUCUGCAACCAGUUUGCUAUCUUUGUUUGGUGCAAAACUUUGGUUGGGUCUAAUUGCAACACUUGCAUCCCAAUCAUACUCCUUGUUUGCAUCAAUUCUGAAAUUUCUUUGCGUGUGUGAUCUAUUUAUACACUUCGAAUCUUUUGAUCAGCACUAGGCAGAGAACUUCUAGUUUGGAUUGUUACUUAACUUUACAACAACUAGAAUUCAGAUUGCAUUCCUUGUUAAUUUUUCCCCACCAAGCUCCACAUAAAAACCAUCGUAAUCGGUACUCUCUGUUCUUGUAUUCGCCUUGCCAUCACUUUCAGUUGCCACCACACAUUUGUUUUCCUUGUAAUCUGCAGC
rnacentral:lncRNA from 1 species